AGCAGCCGCGGUAAUUCCAGCUCCAAUAGCGUAUAUUAAAGUUGUUGCAGUUAAAAAGCUCGUAGUUGAAUUUCGGGAUCAGCGCGUCGGUCGUGCCUCCGGUAUGCACUGGCGCCGCUGGUUUCUCCCUUCUGAGGAACCGUGAUGUCAUUAAUUUGGUGUUGCGGGAAAUCAGGACUGUUACUUUGGAAAAAUUAGAGUGUUUAAAGCGGGCACGCGCUUGAAUACAUUAGCAUGGAAUAACGAAAUAGGACGUUCGAUCUUAUUUUGUUGGUUUCUAGGAUUGACGUAAUGAUUAAUAGGGAUAGUUGGGGGCAUUAGUAUUCAAUUGUCAGAGGUGAAAUUCUUGGAUUUAUUGAAGACUAACUACUGCGAAAGCAUUUGCCAAGGAUGUUUUCAUUAAUCAAGAACGAAAGUUAGGGGAUCGAAGACGAUCAGAUACCGUCGUAGUCUUAACCAUAAACUAUGCCGACUAGGGAUCGGAUGAUGUUAAUUUUAAUGACUCAUUCGGCGCCUUAAC
rnacentral:rRNA from 1 species